UGCAAGUCGAACGGCAGCGCGGGGCAACCUGGCGGCGAGUGGCGAACGGGUGAGUAAUAUAUCGGAACGUACCCAAGAGUGGGGGAUAACGUAGCGAAAGUUACGCUAAUACCGCAUACGAUCUAAGGAUGAAAGCAGGGGACCGCAAGGCCUUGUGCUCCUGGAGCGGCCGAUAUCUGAUUAGCUAGUUGGUAGGGUAAAGGCCUACCAAGGCUACGAUCAGUAGCUGGUCUGAGAGGACGACCAGCCACACUGGAACUGAGACACGGUCCAGACUCCUACGGGAGGCAGCAGUGGGGAAUUUUGGACAAUGGGCGCAAGCCUGAUCCAGCAAUGCCGCGUGAGUGAAGAAGGCCUUCGGGUUGUAAAGCUCUUUUGUCAGGGAAGAAACGGUGGGGGCUAAUAUCCUCCACUAAUGACGGUACCUGAAGAAUAAGCACCGGCUAACUACGUGCCAGCAGCCGCGGUAAUACGUAGGGUGCAAGCGUUAAUCGGAAUUACUGGGCGUAAAGCGUGCGCAGGCGGUUUUGUAAGUCUGAUGUGAAAUCCCCGGGCUCAACCUGGGAAUUGCAUUGGAGACUGCAAGGCUAGAAUCUGGCAGAGGGGGGUAGAAUUCCACGUGUAGCAGUGAAAUGCGUAGAGAUGUGGAGGAACACCGAUGGCGAAGGCAGCCCCCUGGGUCAAGAUUGACGCUCAUGCACGAAAGCGUGGGGAGCAAACAGGAUUAGAUACCCUGGUAGUCCACGCCCUAAACGAUGUCUACUAGUUGUCGGGUUUUAAUUAACUUGGUAACGCAGCUAACGCGUGAAGUAGACCGCCUGGGGAGUACGGUCGCAAGAUUAAAACUCAAAGGAAUUGACGGGGACCCGCACAAGCGGUGGAUGAUGUGGAUUAAUUCGAUGCAACGCGAAAAACCUUACCUACCCUUGACAUG
rnacentral:rRNA from 1 species